rnacentral:rRNA from 1 species
UACGGGGGGUGCGAGCGUUGUCCGGAAUCACUGGGCGUAAAGGGCGCGUAGGUGGUCUGAUAAGGGUGUGGUGAAGGCCCGGGGCUCAACCCCGGGUCGGCCGUGCCGACUGUUAGACUAGAGUGCUGUAGGGGCAGGCGGAAUUCCGGGUGUAGCGGUGGAAUGCGUAGAGAUCCGGAGGAAGACCGGUGGCGAAGGCGGCCUGCUGGGCAGUUACUGACACUGAGGCGCGAAAGCGUGGGGAGCAAACAGG